CUGAUAAUCUAUAUUCUAUAGCAUGAAAGCAAAUGAAUAUAAGUGUUGCACAUAUCUCGCUAAGGUGCAGUCCGUUGAGAACGUAUAACAAAACAAGCAAACCAAUUACACAAACUUUCAUCUUGAACUGUUCUAGAAAACGUAACAAAAACAAUCUCGAAAGGGACCGUUAAACUUGCGCUAAUGUCAAGUUCGAUAUGGUGUAUAUUUAAGCAACCACAUAAGCCAAG